UGGAACCGUUACUGUGAUGUUAAGGUGGAACUGUUAAUGUGACGUUAAGGUGGAACCGUUACUGUGAUGUUAAGGUGGAACUGUUACUGUGAUGUUAAGGUGGAACUGUUAAUGUGACGUUAAGGUGGAACUGUUACUGUGACGUUAAGGUGGAACCGUUACUGUGACGUUAAGGUGGAACUGUUACUGUGACGUUAAGGUGGAACUGUUACUGUGAUGUUAAGGUGGAACUGUUACUGUGACGUUAAGGUGGAACCGUUACUGUGACGUUAAGGUGGAACUGUUACUGUGACGUUAAGGUGGAACUGUUACUGUGACGUUAAGGUGGAACCGUUACUGUGACGUUAAGGUGGA